GCGUGAGUGAUGAAGGCCUUAGGGUUGUAAAGCUCUUUUACCAGGGAUGAUAAUGACAGUACCUGGAGAAUAAGCCCCGGCUAACUCCGUGCCAGCAGCCGCGGUAAUACGGAGGGGGCUAGCGUUGUUCGGAAUUACUGGGCGUAAAGCGUACGUAGGCGGUGUCUCAAGUCAGAGGUGAAAGCCUGGAGCUCAACUCCAGAACUGCCUUUGAAACUAGGACGCUAGAAUUGCGGAGAGGUGAGUGGAAUUCCGAGUGUAGAGGUGAAAUUCGU
rnacentral:rRNA from 1 species